rnacentral:rRNA from 1 species
UACGUAGGGAGCAAGCGUUGUCCGGAAUCAUUGGGCGUAAAGCGCGUGUAGGCGGCCCGAUAAGUCCGCUGUGAAAGUCCAGGGCUCAACCCUGGAAUGCCGGUGGAUACUGUCGGGCUCGAGUCCGGAAGAGGCGAGUGGAAUUCCUGGUGUAGCGGUGAAAUGACGCAGAUAUCAGGAGGAACACCGAUGGCGAAGGCAGCUCGCUGGGACGGUACUGACGCUGAGACGCGAAAGCGUGGGGGAGCAAACAGG